UCAUCUCCGUGAGAAAAGUGAGACAGGGCUGGCCUAGGCAGCGAUCUGAACUUAGAAUGUGAGACCUUAGCAGCAAUUCCAGAGCAAUGGCAACACGCAUUCUUAUUAAACGAGUUAGCUUCACAGUGAUGGCUUAUUUCAUAUCUGGGUUGCUAGAGCCUCCAGGUAACACAAUAGAAGGAAUGUGCUUAGACAGCCCAGAGCAUCAGUCCACAUUUUCAGUUAGAAAGCAAUGAAUGUAUGUGAACCAUGUUGCUACAUCAACUCCUGUCUAGGACAAGGUGGUGCAUAAAUGAGUCCUUGUGUAUCAAUAUUUUAUUUUCAUUCUGUACUCUUACAUUGAUGAAAAAGUGAAAAGUUUUUAUGAUGAAUAGUAGCUGGAUUCUUCCCUGUCAGUGCUAAGUGAUCGAAUAGAAACGAAGGUUCAAAUAAACACAAAUACUCCUACAGAUAAGUAUGAUCAUUUUCCUGACCUUUUAAUGUUGUUUAUGCCAUAUGCACAUUCAAAAAUUAUCAUUUCCUCUUUUAUUUGCAGAACUGAAAUUUUGUCUUUCAAAGGACUGGUGCAUCAUUUUGCUGCUGGAAGCUUGGAAAAGCUCUGACAGACUCAAGUCUCUGCUGUGCUUCUGUGGUGGAGCUUUGGACAGCCGUGGGGUUAAGGUUGUUGGAUUCAGAGUUGCUAUUCCUCCACUACAUCGGGACAGGAUCCCAUCCAGGAUCCCACAUUCCAUGUAGUCACUGCCUCCUUAGGCUCCUCCUGGCUGCGACAGAUUUUCAGAUUUCCCUUGUUUCUGAUGAUCUUGGCAGUUUUGAGGAACACUGGUCAGGUUGAUUUUAGUGCAUUUGAGCUACAAUCAUAUUUUAUUAUCUAGAAAAUACCUUGAAGACAUCUGUGGACCUACAGACUUCCAGGGCUACUUUCUGCAUACAAAGGAGGCAUGAACAGGCCUUUCUACUCAGAAGUGGACUAAGUUAUCAGAAUCAAAAUGGAGUCAUGAAUAUUAAGAAAACCCUGACAAAUGGAGCCAGCAAAAACCGUAAAGAAGGGGUUCUGACACUUGUGUGCCUGAUGAUGAAAAAGACUAUACAAAAACCACGACCUGGCACACAACCCAUUGCAACUGUACAAAAAAUAUAUACAAGAAUAUCUGCCCAGCAACUGCCUGUCCAAACUUGUACUGGUGUCACCCUUGUCAUUGAUCUUUGUAACCAAAGGUAAGUAUUUCAAAAACAAUUAUGUAGUCCUCAUUUUUUUCUUUAGAAAUCUUUGCCUUUUACCUCCCUGACACAUAUAUUAAUA